rnacentral:pre_miRNA from 1 species
AUUCUAUUCCCUUCGUCCGGAAAUACUUGUUCUAAAAAUGGAUAAAAUAGAUGUGUCUAUAAUUAAAAUAAAUAUAUACAAUCAUCUCUAGGAUAAAUAUUUCCGGACAGAGGGAGUAUGUA